rnacentral:rRNA from 1 species
CCACCUCAUGGUGGAGGGUGGAAAGUUUUUCGGUCAGGGAUGGGCUCGCGGCCUAUCAGCUUGUUGGUGGGGUAACGGCCUACCAAGGCGAUUACGGGUAGCCGGCCUGAGAGGGCGACCGGCCACACUGGGACUGAGACACGGCCCAGACUCCUGCGGGAGGCAGCAGUGGGGAAUAUUGCGCAAUGGGCGAAAGCCUGACGCAGCGACGCCGCGUGGGGGAUGACGGCCUUCGGGUUGUAAACCUCUUUUACCACCAACGCAGGCCCGGAGUUCUCUUCGGGUUGACGGUAGGUGGGGAAUAAGGACCGGCUAACUACGUGCCAGCAGCCGCGGUAAUACGUAGGGUCCGAGCGUUGUCCGGAAUUAUU